AGCUAGUGUGGUGUAGUGGCUCGAGUGUUAGACUAUGACUCUGGAGACCAGGGUUCAAUUUCCAGCUUGGCCA